GGCGCUCCCGGGGAAGGCAGUUUUUGCUCAGCGCGUUCUGCAGCAUAAGCAAUCCUAACGCGAAUCCGUGAACUGCCUAUUCUGACGCCGCGGAGAAAUCUCACGCGGGAAUCCCCACGGUGUGCCCGCGCUUAACGCAGACGCCUGAACCCCGAGGAAGUCUCCGACUCCGCAAUGAGUGACAUGCGGGCUUGAGAAGUUCUGAAGGAACGUGAUCCGAGUUAGGGAACGUAACUGAAGCUCAUUUUGUCUUAGUUAUGGACUAUGAUUCCUUAAUAAACGUAAGAAUGACAAAUGUCAGCAAAGAGUGGUCCCUGUCCCAA